rnacentral:rRNA from 1 species
AUUGAACGCUGGCGGCAGGCCUAACACAUGCAAGUCGAACGAGUGGCGGACGGGUGAGGAAUGUCUGGGAAACUGCCCGUUGGCGGGGGAUAACUACUGGAAAAGGUAGCUAAUAACGCAUACCAUCAGAUGUGCCCAGAUGUGAUUAGCUAGUCGGUGGGGUAACGGCUCACCUAGUCGACGAACCCUAGCUGGUCUGAGAGGUUGAUCAGCCACACUGGAACUGAGACACGGCCCAGACUCCUACGGGAGGCAGCAGUGGGGAAUAUUGCACAAUGGGCGCAAGCCUGAUGCAGCCAUGCCGCGUGUGUGAAGAAGGCCUUCGGAUUGUAAAGUACUGUCAGCGAGGAGGCGUUACUCGCAGAAGAAGCACCGGCUAACUCCGUGCCAGCAGCCGCGGUAAUUC